UMGAACGAACUCUGGUAUUGAUUGGUGCUUGCAUCAUGAUUUACAUUUGAGUGAGUGGCGAACUGGUGAGUAACACGUGGGAAACCUGCCCAGAAGMGGGGGAUAACACCUGGAAACAGAUGCUAAUACCGCAUAACAACUUGGACCGCAUGGUCCGAGUUUGAAAGAUGGCUUCGGCUAUCACUUYUGGAUGGUCCCGCGGCGUAUUAGCUAGAUGGUGAGGUAACGGCUCACCAUGGCAAUGAUACGUAGCCGACCUGAGAGGGUAAUCGGCCACAUUGGGACUGAGACACGGCCCAAACUCCUACGGGAGGCAGCAGUAGGGAAUCUUCCACAAUGGACGAAAGUCUGAUGGAGCAACGCCGCGUGAGUGAAGAAGGGUUUCGGCUCGUAAAACUCUGUUGUUAAAGAAGAACAUAUCUGAGAGUAACUGUUCAGGUAUUGACGGUAUUUAACCAGAAAGCCACGGCUAACUACGUGCCAGCMGCCGCGGUAAU
rnacentral:rRNA from 2 species